CAUCACUUCGAUCAACACCACCCCUUGUUUCACCAGGAGUAUAAUUCCUUAAUGGAUCUGCUGGGGGUAAGGGAACAAGUUUACGAUCUUCAAACUCAAUCACCUUCAUGUUCUGCAUGUCAACAAGCACAUAGAUGCCCUCAACUGGGCGUGCAUAACCAUUUUCCAUUGGGCAAUCACUCUCAGUUCUACAGAAUAUAAGAGGUUUAGCAAGUCUUUUGCUUGGAGCAUCAGCUUCACUGUGAUAACCAACACACCAGGCAUCAACCAUUACAAGUUCCAUGUCUUC
rnacentral:misc_RNA from 1 species